rnacentral:rRNA from 1 species
AACGAACGCUGGCGGCAGGCCUAACACAUGCAAGUCGAACGCCCUGGCAACAGGGAGUGGCAGACGGGUGAGUAACGCGUGGGAACGUGCCCUUCGGUUCGGAAUAACUCAGGGAAACUUGAGCUAAUACCGGAUACGUGCGAGAGCAGAAAGAUUUAUCGCCGAAGGAUCGGCCCGCGUCCGAUUAGCUAGUUGGUGAGGUAAUGGCUCACCAAGGCGACGAUCGGUAGCUGGUCUGAGAGGAUGAUCAGCCACACUGGGACUGAGACACGGCCCAGACUCCUACGGGAGGCAGCAGUGGGGAAUAUUGGACAAUGGGCGCAGGCCUGAUCCAGCCAUGCCGCGUGAGUGAUGAAGGCCCUAGGGUUGUAAAGCUCUUUCGCCAGGGACGAUAAUGACGGUACCUGGAUAAGAAGCCCCGGCUAACUUCGUGCCAGCAGCCGCCGUAAAAC